GACGAACGCUGGCGGCGUGCUUAACACAUGCAAGUCGAACGGUGAGGCCCUGCUUUUGUGGGGUGGUCGAGUGGCGAACGGGUGAGUAACACGUGAGUAACCUGCCCUUGUCUUUGGGAUAACUCCAGGAAACGGGUGCUAAUACCGGAUAUGCACUCCUGCUCCCUGGUGGGGGGGUGGAAAGGGCUGCGGUGGUGGAUGGUCUGGCGGCUUCUCAGCUUGUUGGUGGGGUAGUGGCUGACGAAGAGUGUGACGGGUAGGCGGCCUGGGAAGGUGAGCAGCGACAUUGGGACUGAGAUACGGCGCAGACCAGUAGGGGAGGCAACAGUAGGGAGGGUUGCAGAAUGAGGCGGAGCCUGAGGCAGCAAGGUGGCGUGCGGGAUGAUGGGAUCCUGGUUGUAAACCGGUUUCGCCGGAACAAUAGUGGUAGUGACGGUAAUGGGUAAAGAAGCACCGGCUAACUACGUG
rnacentral:rRNA from 1 species